rnacentral:rRNA from 1 species
AAUAUUGCGCAAUGGAGGGAACUCUGACGCAGCGACGCCGCGUGUGCGAUGUAGGCUUUCGGAGCGUAAAACUCUGUCCUUGGGGAAGAAGGUCUUCGGUCUUGACGGUACCUAAUGAGGAAGCCCCGGCCAACUCCGUGCCACCAGCCGCGGUAAUACGUAGGGGGAAAGCGUUGUGCGGAAUUAUUGGGCGUAAAGGGGGUGUAGGAGGCCUUUUAAGUCAGGUGUGAAAGCCCACGGCUUAACCGUGGGGUUGCGUUUGAAACUGGAAGGCUUGAGUAUCGGAGAGGGUAGUAGAAUUCCCAUUGUAGCGGUGGAAUGCGUAGAUAUUGGGAGGAACACCAGUGGCGAAGGCGACUACCUGGACGAAAACUGACGCUGAGGCACGAAAGCUAGGGGAGCAAAC